UACGUAGGGUGCGAGCGUUGUCCGGAAUUAUUGGGCGUAAAGAGCUUGUAGGCGGUCUGUCGCGUCUGCUGUGAAAAUCCGGGGCUCAACCCCGGACUUGCAGUGGGUACGGGCAGACUAGAGUGUGGUAGGGGAGACUGGAAUUCCUGGUGUAGCGGUGAAAUGCGCAGAUAUCAGGAGGAACACCGGUGGCGAAGGCGGGGUCUCUGGGCAGUAACUGACG
rnacentral:rRNA from 1 species